UAGGACGAUCCUAAUCUUGGGUGGGUGGU
rnacentral:piRNA from 1 species